GCAACUGUGAGGGUACAGACGGGAUAGGGGAUCCACACAUGAAACCAAAGGGGACCCACCGGGCGGGACGUGGCUCAGGAGGAAAGUGAGAGACGUGCAGGGGAACGUGGAGCCCAAAGUUUUUCAAUCUGUGGGAACUAUUCAGCUGAGGAAGGAGACAGCAUAACUCACAAAUUACUCAGUAAGAACAUAACAUUUUCGAGGA